UACGUAGGGUGCGAGCGUUAAUCGGAAUUACUGGGCGUAAAGCGUGCGCAGGCGGCUUUGCAAGACAGAUGUGAAAUCCCCGGGCUCAACCUGGGAACUGCAUUUGUGACUGCAAGGCUAGAGUACGGCAGUGGGGGAUGGAAUUCCGCGUGUAGCAGUGAAAUGCGUAGAUAUGCGGAGGAACACCAAUGGCGAAGGCAAUCCCCUGGGCCUGUACUGACGCUCAUGCACGAAAGCGUGGGGAGCAAACAGG
rnacentral:rRNA from 1 species